rnacentral:lncRNA from 1 species
UCCUCCUCCAUCUCUUCCUCCUCCUCCUCCUCCUCCUCCUCCUGUUCCUCCUCCAUCUCAUUCUCCUCCUCCUCCAUCUCCUCCUCCUCCUCCUCCUCCUCCUCUCCCCUUCUCUCUCUGCCUCCUGGAUGACCUGAGCUGAGCCUCUUUCCUCCUCCACACUCGGCCGCCAUGUUGUUGGGCUCCACCUCAGGCUCACAGCAAUGGAGCCAGCCAGGGACCAAACCCUCUGAAACCGUGGUCCCCAAUGAACCUUUCACCUUCUAAGUUGUUUUGCUGGGUGUUUUUGUCACAGCAGGGGAAUCUGGCCACGUCAGGCAGUGAGCAGUCAGGCCAGGAUGAAAGACCUGGACCCUGUUUACGGGGUUGGCGCGAGGGAUGAGCUCCCUGCCUGGGGUGCGGGUGAGGCCAGGGCCGGAAGGGGAGGCAGGGUCCAGUGUGAGAUGUGCAGGGCCGAGGCACAGCCGCUCUGUGCCGGCACCAGGCGGGGCGAUUUUCUGUGGUGUGGGCCACAUUGGACCAAUUCAUGCAUCUGCCACCAAUCCUGACAACCAGAAAGGUCUCCAGACAUUGAUGGGCGUCCCUUGGGGACAGAGGAGAGUGACAAGACUUUUCCCUAGUCAUGAACCACUGUGGUAGGAGACGGAUAAAUAGAUAGAGAAUCGACAGAUAACCAAACAGGUAAUUAGGUGGUAAUGGAUGGCGAGAGACAGAGGGAUGAUAGACGCUAAGUGGGUAUGGAGAUGACCGGCGGAGACAGCAGAGAGACAGAGGGCCUAGGCUGGACGGAGAGCAACAGACGCAUGAUCAAUAGACAAGUGACAGAUACAGAAAGAGAAAAUGGAUGAGUGGACAGCUAUCCUUCCAUCCACUCUCUAUCCAUCCGUCCAUCCACCUAUCCACCCAUCUGUCCAUCCUCCCAUCCACCCAUCCAUUUGUCCACCCACCCAUCUGUCCAUCCAUCCGUCCAUUCGUCCAUGGAUCGUAGACAUGGCGGGUGGAUAGGUAGGGCUGUUGACAGACGGGUCUUGUUUCUAGAGUGGAAUAAUUUGGAUUUAGAAGACGCGGUCACUCCACAGUGUCCGUGUCUGGAAUGAGCACGGGGGCUCUGCACUGACCAGGUCUAGCGGGAUGGGGCCAGGAUUGGUGCCCCCACUUCCCAGGACCAAGGGCCCUAGUGUGUAUGUGUCCUCCCCGCUGCCCAUCCUUGACCCUCCGAGGUUGGAAGGUGGACUGUCCAUACCAAGAGGAACCCGGGCGGUGCCUAGACGGGACGCUGAACGCACAGCUCAUUUUAAUGCAAACGUGGGAGGGCUUCGCUCCUCCGGGCUUCCUUGGGACCCUUCAGUUGGCUUCAGAUGUCCUACAAGGUUGAAGGCUCUGGGUGACGGACGGGCUCCCCAAGGCACACCUGAGCUACGGCGGGUCUGAUGGACCCACCCGAUGUCCUAAAGUCCCCAAGGGUGCAGCAGUUAUGUGCAUGGCUUCCUGCUUAGGAUGCGGUCACGACAGUCAUGUGGCACACAACCUUCCUGUGAGAUGUGACACGGGAACACUGAGGCUCAGUAAGGUCAGGGGGCUCCCCAGGGCCAGCUGCUCCGUCUUGGGUUCCCCCCUGGACACAGAGCCCCUGCAGCCUCCUAGGUGGGGUGGGGCAUCGAGCCUCCAGUUUGGAUUAGCAUGCUCACAUGCCGAGGGUGAGCAGGACAAGGCCACCCCUCUAGCCAGGACAGGGACAGGCCAGCUGGCAGCGCGUGGACUGGCAGCAACAGAGAAAUCUCAGCCCAGCCCCAGGGCAUAGAAAGGUGGGGCUCCUCCAAGGGCUGUGGGUCGGCAGAGGAGAGACCCCAAGAAAUUCCCCAGGUCGAGCACAGUUUGGGGGAGGAACGGAUGGAUGGUUGGGUGUAGAGACAGACGGGUGGACGCAUGGACAGGUGGGUGAGGGAUGGUGGACAGAUGGACAGGUGGGUGAGUGGACGGAUGGGUGGGUGGAUGAUGGGUUGAUGAAAAGGUGGAUGAUGGAUGGAUGCAUGGAUGGUGGGUGAGUGGACAGAUGGGUGGGUGGAUGAUGGAU